rnacentral:tRNA from 1 species
GCGGGUUUAUUUCAACGGUUUAGAAUGCCGGUCUCCAAAACCGGCGAUACAGGUUCGAAUCCUGUAACCCGUG